rnacentral:rRNA from 1 species
CCUACGGGCGGCAGCAGUGGGGAAUAUUGGACAAUGGGCGAAAGCCUGAUCCAGCCAUGCCGCGUGUGUGAAGAAGGCCUUCGGGUUGUAAAGCACUUUCAGUGGGGAAGAAAGCCUUGGGGCUAAUACCCUCGAGGAAGGACAUCACCCACAGAAGAAGCACCGGCUAACUCCGUGCCAGCAGCCGCGGUAAUACGGAGGGUGCGAGCGUUAAUCGGAAUUACUGGGCGUAAAGCGCGCGUAGGCGGUCUGAUAAGCCGGUUGUGAAAGCCCCGGGCUCAACCUGGGAACGGCAUCCGGAACUGUCAGGCUAGAGUGCAGGAGAGGAAGGUAGAAUUCCCGGUGUAGCGGUGAAAUGCGUAGAGAUCGGGAGGAAUACCAGUGGCGAAGGCGGCCUUCUGGACUGACACUGACGCUGAGGUGCGAAAGCGUGGGUAGCAAACAGUAUUAGAUACCCCGGUAGUC